rnacentral:rRNA from 1 species
UUUGGAAUUUUGGACAAUGGGCGAAAGCCUGAUCCAGCGACGCCGCGUGCACGAAGAAGGUCUUCGGAUUGUAAAGUGCUUUUGCUUGUGAACAAUUUUUGAGCGUAGCAAGCGAAUAAGAGGUUGCUAACUCUGUGCCAGCAGCAGCGGUAAUACAGAGACCUCAAGCGUUAUCCGGAAUCAUUGGGCGUAAAGCGUACCGAUAGGUGGUUAAGAUAGUCUUGGGUAAAAGCCCGCAGCUCAACUGCGGAGUUUGCUUAAGAUACUUCUUGACUUGAGGGACAAAGAGGUGCCUGGAACGAAUGGUGUAGUAGUGAAAUGCGUUGAUAUCAUUCGGAACACCGAAAGCGUAGGCAGGGCACUGGGUGUCACCUGACACUGCUAGGACGAAAGCGUGGGG